CCUACGGGGAGCAGCAGUCGAGAAUCAUUCACAAUGGGGGAAACCCUGAUGGUGCGACGCCGCGUGGGGGAAUGAAGGUCUUCGGAUUGUAAACCCCUGUCAUGUGGGAGCAAAUUAAAAAGAUAGUACCACAAGAGGAAGAGACGGCUAACUCUGUGCCAGCAGCCGCGGUAAUACAGAGGUCUCAAGCGUUGUUCGGAAUCACUGGGCGUAAAGCGUGCGUAGGCUGUUUCGUAAGUCGUGUGUGAAAGGCGCGGGCUCAACCCGCGGACGGCACAUGAUACUGCGAGACUAGAGUAAGGGAGGGGGAACCGGAAUUCUCGGUGUAGCAGUGAAAUGCGUAGAUAUCGAGAGGAACACUCGUGGCGAAGGCGGGUUCCUGGACAUUAACUGACGCUGAGGCACGAAGGCCAGGGGAGCGAAAGGGAUUAGAUACCCUGGUAGUC
rnacentral:rRNA from 1 species